rnacentral:tRNA from 1 species
CAGAAAAUUUUAUUUUAUUUACAAUAAAAUUAUUAAUCAUUAAUAUGAUUUUUUCUGA